GACGAACGCUGGCGGCGUGCUUAACACAUGCAAGUCGAACGAAGAGCGAUGGAAGCUUGCUUCUAUCAAUCUUAGUGGCGAACGGGUGAGUAACGCGUAAUCAACCUGCCCUUCAGAGGGGGACAACAGUUGGAAACGACUGCUAAUACCGCAUACGAUCUAAUCUCGGCGUCGAGGAAAGAUGAAAGGUGGCCUCUACAUGUAAGCUAUCACUGAAGGAGGGGAUUGCGUCUGAUUAGCUAGUUGGAGGGGUAACGGCCCACCAAGGCGAUGAUCAGUAGCCGGUCUGAGAGGAUGAACGGCCACAUUGGGACUGAGACACGGCCCAGACUCCUACGGGAGGCAGCAGUGGGGAAUCUUCCGCAAUGGACGAAAGUCUGGCGGAGCAACGCCGCGUGAGUGAUGACGGCCUUCGGGUUGUAAAGCUCUGUUAAUCGGGACGAAAGGCCUUCUUG
rnacentral:rRNA from 1 species